AGAGCAGAACACUCCUAACACAAUGUACACUCCUUUAGGCCUUUCCACAAGGACAGAUUGGUAGGUUAGUGGUCAGCUACUCUGAUUUGACGUGUAUGGGGUGCCAGCUGUUGGGGUUUUUUGACCUUGAAGGUCUCGCUGGUUUUUUUUAUAAAAAGGUGCCUCUCUCAUAGCAUCCUCCACUUUCUCAACAGGGCCCACCUGGCUCCAUGGGAAUACCAGGUCCAGUUGGCCCUCCAGGGCCCCCAGGUUUGACGGGACCUCCUGGUCCACCAGGGCUGCCAGGACCUAAGGGUAAUAUGGGUUUGAAUUUCCAAGGACCCAAAGGUGAAAAAGGUGAACAAGGUCUUCAGGGACCUCCAGGGCCACCAGGACAAAUUGGAGAACAGAAGAGACCAAAUGACAUUGAGUUUCAGAAAGGAGAUCAGGGUAUUCCAGGUGAUCCAGGCCCACCAGGACUUCCUGGGCCACAAGGCCCUCCUGGUCUUCCCGGUGGCGUAAAAGGUGAAAAAGGUGAGCAAGGAGAACCAGGCAAAAGAGGAAAGCCUGGCAAAGAUGGAGAACCUGGUCAGCCUGGUAGGGAUGUGAGUAACUCAUACAGUUCUAAUCUAAGCAGAUUCCUUAUAAGUUUUUCUUCUGAUAUGGAGAAGAUCUGGGUGUGA
rnacentral:lncRNA from 1 species